GGGAAAUGAAUGCUACUAUUGUCAUUUGACUGAAAAAGGAGCUAAUCCUCAGGAAGUCUGUUGGGCUCUUGUGUUUUUUAAAGGCCAGAAAUUUGGAGAGAGGGAAUAAUGAUUUCUUCCUCUACCCGGGGACAAAACUCUUGUUUGUUCUGGACUCAGAACAAUAUAGGCCUAGGCCAGCCUCAGGGGUGGCUGCUUGGAGGCAGGAGUGGAAUGAGACAGGAAGAUGAUGAGGAAUGCAUAGAGUGGUACUCCUCUCCUGAGGUAGAAUUUGGGGGGCAGGGGGCAGAAGGCAGCUAGUGGCGCAUUCAUUAGGUUAGCUAAAACCAACUGCAGGAGGAGAAAUUUGUCACGCAACAAUGGGCCUUCCCUUUCAAGUGGUGACCGUGUAGCGAAGCAGUAGAGAUGAAGCCCAUCUCAGGGGCCAGCAUGAACAGCAUUUCCCAAAGUCUACUGUGUGGAAUAUUAAUACUGUAAGCUACAUCAAAAAUAAAGACUAUAAAUUUGUAGAUCUAUGAACCUUUAUAUACGUACAAUUCACAUUUACCAUAUGAAGAUUCCAGGAAAUCCUCAGGUUAAUUCAACUUCGCUUGCAAGAAGUGAACUUACUUCCUGCCUUUACCACUCGGUUCUUUGGAUGGUGUGGCCCUCUUAAUUGAAGAAUGUUUCCGAGGGCUGCUGGGACUUCUAAGGCUACAAGUGAAUGAAAGCAAAACAUCCUCCAGGGGCUUCCCCAGAAGUAUUGGGUCCUCCGUGGCUCUCAGUGGGAGCUGGCUAAUACCUCUUCUGACUACCCAAGAGAUGUUUUAUCUCAGAAAAGAAAGGGAUCUACUCUGUUCUGAUUAACUUUCCAAUUAGUAGAAACUUCGGGAAGCAAGCAUGUGCUUGAUUCUUAGCUUCCAGUUCUAAUGCUUUUACCAUUUUUUAUUUUGGUGUGCUUUCUUGGUUAGCCUAAUAGAAAAUUGAGCCAAGAGCCUUGGAUUCCUGUUUGAUGUAAUGAUUUUACCUCCAAAUCUGGGCCCUUGAGUCUCAUUCUAAAAUUGUUUAGAUUAUCUUCCAUUAGUUAUUCCUUUUGGAGAUUACAAAGAAGACACUUGCAUUUCUGUUUAUAAACCUGGUAUCUUUUACUAAAUGGUGUUUAAAAUGUUCAGGGGAUAAUAUGAUCCAGGCUCCUCUGAGUAAGAAACAAAUUAGAGACAUGCUGAUAGGAAAAAAAAUAAAGUAGUGCAGGCCCCUGAAAACUUUGUCUUUCUAGUUAUAGAGCAAAGAUAACACAGCCAGACUGAAAACUCACAACACAAGUCACAUAUGGCCUUUGGUAAGAUAAUUUAAAGCAGAGAGACCUCUAAUACUGACAGUGGGCAAGACGCUGGAAUGAACACUUUCCUUCUGAAGAAGCACUUGGGAGUCAUCUGGAGAAGCAGUAAGCACCCUGAAUCUAAGAAAACAGCUCUGGCAUAGUCAUAUAGGUGAAACAAAACAAUGAGCAUUUGGAGGAAAAAAAAUUGCUAACAACUAAGUUUAGUGACAGGGAUAUUUAACUUGCACCAAGUUGUUUCUAUUUAUUUUAAACCUUGCUGUAUCACAUUGUCAGAGGCAGAAAUUAGAAAUUGAUCAGUGUUGCUUUUAAUUAAAGAGUUUAAUUUUAAGGAAAAUGAAUUAAUGGAUUUUUAAUAUAUCUUUUUCAAUCACUUAUCUACACCUUUGCUGGAGCAAAUCCAGAAAAGCCAAAUAAAGUCAUAGACCUAGAAGAAAAAAGAAGCAACUUCUGUGUGGAGGGUCUGCUUUGUAAACCCAACCUUCCAUGUACCAGGGAAAAGCAAAGUAGAGAUAAACAAU